UGGGGAAUAUUGCACAAUGGGCGCAAGCCUGAUGCAGCCAUGCCGCGUGUAUGAAGAAGGCCUUCGGGUUGUAAAGUACUUUCAGCGGGGAGGAAGGGAGUAAAGUUAAUACCUUUGCUCAUUGACGUUACCCGCAGAAGAAGCACCGGCUAACUCCGUGCCAGCAGCCGCGGUAAUACGGAGGGUGCAAGCGUUAAUCGGAAUUACUGGGCGUAAAGCGCACGCAGGCGGUUUGUUAAGUCAGAUGUGAAAUCCCCGGGCUCAACCUGGGAACGGCAUCUGAUACUGGCAAGCUUGAGUCUCGUAGAGGGGGGUAGAAAUCCAGGUGUAGCGGUGAAAUGCGUAGAGAUCUGGAGGAAUACCGGUGGCGAAGGCGGCCCCCUGGACGAAGACUGACGCUCAGGUGCGAAAGCGUGGGGAGCAAACAGG
rnacentral:rRNA from 1 species